rnacentral:rRNA from 1 species
UACAGAGGUCUCAAGCGUUGCUCGGAAUCACUGGGCGUAAAGCGCACGUAGGCGGAUUGUUAAGUCAGGGGUGAAAUCCUGGAGCUCAACUCCAGAACUGCCUUUGAUACUGGCGAUCUUGAGUCCGGGAGAGGUGAGUGGAACUGCGAGUGUAGAGGUGAAAUUCGUAGAUAUUCGCAAGAACACCAGUGGCGAAGGCGGGUCUCUGGGCCUUUCCUGACGCUGAGACGCGAAAGCGUGGGGAGCGAACCGG